rnacentral:rRNA from 1 species
AGAAUCUUUCGCAAUGCCCGAAAGGGUGACGAAGCGACGCCGCGUGUGGGAAGAAGGCCUUCGGGUUGUAAACCACUGUCGGGAGUUAAGAAAUGUAAGGAUGUUAAUAGCGUCCUUACUUGACUAAGGCUCCGGAGGAAGCCACGGCUAACUCUGUGCCAGCAGCCGCGGUAAUACAGAGGCGGCAAGCGUUGUUCGGAAUUAUUGGGCGUAAAGAGCACGUAGGCGGCCUUGAAAGUCAGUUGUGAAAGCCUUCUGCUUAACGGAAGAACAGCAUCUGAUACUACAGGGCUUGAGUGCGGGAGGGGAGAGUGGAACUUCUGGUGGAGCGGUGAAAUGCGUAGAUAUCAGAAGGAACGCCGGCGGCGAAAGCGGCUCUCUGGCUCGUAACUGACGCUGAGUGUGCGAAAGCUAGGGGAUCAAACGGGAUUAGAUACCCCGGUAGUCCUAGCCGUAAACGAUGGGCACUAAGUAGAGGGGUUUUGAUUAUCUCUCUGCCGGAGCUAACGCAUUAAGUGCCCCGCCUGGGAAGUACGGCCGCAAGGCUAAAACUCAAAAGAAUUGACGGGGGCUCGCACAAGCGGUGGAGCAUGUGGCUUAAUUCGAUGCAACGCGAAGAACCUUACCGGGGUUUGACAUGGUAGAAGUAGGAACCAGAAACGGUAACGAACGGUAUCCAGUCCGUAACUAUCACAGGUGUUGCAUGGCUG